rnacentral:rRNA from 1 species
UACGUAGGGUGCGAGCGUUGUCCGGAAUUAUUGGGCGUAAAGAGCUCGUAGGCGGUCUGUUGCGUCGGCUGUGAAAACCCGGGGCUCAACUCCGGGCCUGCAGCCGAUACGGGCAGACUAGAGUCCGGAAGAGGAGAGUGGAAUUCCUGGUGUAGCGGUGAAAUGCGCAGAUAUCAGGAGGAACACCCGUGGCGAAAGCGGCUCUCUGGAACGGUACUGACGCUGAGACGCGAAAGCGUGGGGAGCGAACAGG